AUGUUUACAGCUUGCUAAGUGGGAAGCAGUGAGGGCUUCAGUUUUGAACCGUAACCGACCAGACUCUUCAUUAUCUUCCUCCUCUUCAUCUGAUUCUUCUUUGGGCUCUUGUUGAAACUCCAGAUUUUCAAUAAUUACCUGUAACAGAUGAGGAAUGGGUCAAAUGCUGAUCUUACGUAUUUACAAGGAAGUGCUUCAACAUCCUUAAAAGAAGAAAAUCACAGAAUUUAAAUACCAAGUAAACCAACUAGGACUCUAAGGAAUAUACUAACUUGGAUGAUGAGCCCUUAUUUUAAGGUGAUAGAGGAAAAAAGAUGAACUGCCUGUCAAACAAUCCAGCUAAAGCUCCCACUCCUGGCUUCAAAAGAAACUGAGGAUGAGGAAAACCUUAAAUCCAAAUAUAAUCCCUUCCCGCAAAUACAGCCACUGAAAGCUAAGAGUGGCAGCUAGCCUCUUGUAGAAGAGGAAAAGAAAAUAAAUGCAUCACAGAAAAAUAAACUUAUUGCUCAGGUAAUAACUGGUA